CCCCCCUUUCGGGCUUAUGUAUAAUCUAGCUAUGACUGGUUAAAAGAGUUGUAACCUCCUUCUGUCCAAAGGAAGGAGUUAGAAGUUCAAUAAGAUGUGAAAUUUUUGUGAACAGAUCUUGUUGUCCAAAAUGGGAAGAAGCGAUGUGCCGAAAAUUUCAGAAAAUUAACUUUGUUGAUUAUCCAGAUGUGGCAAUUUUUCAAGAUGAAGAACUCAUGUACAAAAAUAUUUAUUAUUUGUAUUUAUAUAACAUAUAUAUAUUUGUAAACAUAUCAUAAGAUAUAAUAUAUAUGUAUUAUAUAUAAGGAUGUAAAAUAUAUUUCUAUUAAUAUUAUAUAUUUAUAUAUAUAACACAUAAUAUAACAGAAGCAAGGAGAAGAAGAGUAUUGGGCUAAGAUGAAAAGAUUUGGGAUUAGGAGCAAGAUGAAUGGCUAAGGUGGUGUCACCUUCAACCUGGGUGAUCUUCGGUGGUUGGUGGAGCAGUUAGAGGUGAUUGUGGAUUGAUAGAAUAAGAAAGAAAAAAAAGGGGGCACCAGCGAUCAUUCGAGAGACUUCGAUUCCAGUUUAUCGUUCUCUCUUCUAUCUUUGAUUCAUGCCCAUUUACAAAGAAACACGGUUUGAAAAUUUGACAUGGUGGUGCCUACGUCAGACUACAUCAUUGGUCCCAGCUUCCCAAGGAAAUCUUUCAAGAACUUGGAAAUUCUCCCAGAUAACCUUUACUUGAAGUUAUGGAACCUGAACAGCAAGAGAAUCCUUCCCCAAAUGCGAUGUGGUAGAUCAACCCUCUACAUUUGAUGCACAAGGACUCCUUCUCAAGUGGUAAUAGCUUUCCUUAAUUUACACGUGGGAUUCCCCUCUUUCCAAGUUGAAGUACCUUCUAUUCCUCGCCCAAUUUUAAUUUCUGCCUAAUUUUAGAGCAAUAUUUUCAGUAAGUUUCCCUCCAACGUUAACCUCAGUCGCCCACCAUGAGUCACGCUAGUCUAUCACUGAAAUCCCCAAGGGACCGUUUGAUGGCCUGGAAAUGUGGAAUUGGAAAUAAAUUUUUGGAAAUAUAUUUCUUGAAAAAAAUGAGUGGGAAAAAUCUUUCCGAUUCCAAUUUUGGUGUGUGUGUGAUGACUGAGAAAUAUAUUUCCAAAAAUAUAUUUCUGAGUUUGAUGGUAUAGAAAUAUAUUUCUAGAUUUCCAGAAAAUUAAUUCUUGGUUUGAUAAUAAGGAAACAUUUUUCCAGAUUUACAACAAUUAGAUAAAUAACCACACCAAAUAGAUAAAUAACACUCAAUGUAUUCAGAUCCCAAUGAUGGAGACGAAGAUGACGGUGAGGAAGAAGAAUUUGCAUGUGGCACUACAACAAAUGGAGAUAAAACAAGUUAAAACAUAGAUGAAUAUAUUCACCAUAGAAAUAAGAAACAGCUUCAGCUGAAUAAAUAGGAGCAUCUUCGGUAGCUCACACGCACAGCAACUAAUACCUCUUGAUGAAAAGCUUGUGAAAUUGCACAAAGAACAACAGUUACAAUUAUGUAACAACUAACUAAAGUCAGGAAAUGGGAAGCUACCUUUUCAUUAUGUUCACAUGAUGACAAAUUCUCUCAAUUCAACAACAAAUUAAUAUUGACAAUAAGCAAACUACAUAGCCAUUAGUC